GAUGAAGAACGUAGCGAAAUGCGAUAAGUAAUGUGAAUUGCAGAAUUCAGUGAAUCAUCGAGUCUUUGAACGCACAUUGCGCCCCCUGGUAUUCCGGGGGGCAUGCCUGUCCGAGCGUCAUUGCUGCCCUCAAGCACGGCUUGUGUGUUGGGCCCCGUCCUCCGAUCCCGGGGGACGGGCCCGAAAGGCAGCGGCGGCACCGCGUCCGGUCCUCGAGCGUAUGGGGCUUUGUCACCCGCUCUGUAGGCCCGGCCGGCGCUUGCCGAUCAACCCAAAUUUUUAUCCAGGUUGACCUCAGAUCAGGUAGGGAUACCCGCUGAACUUAAGCAUAUCAAUAAGCGGAGGA
rnacentral:misc_RNA from 1 species